GGGGGCGUAAUGGUUUCGACGGGAUUGUUGAGACCGGAGUAGCGGGUAGAGGAUUCUCGUUGGCCUCUUAAAUAAACGGGAAAAAUAAAUAUAAACGCUAAAAACGAAAAUUUAGCUUUCGCGGCUUAAUUCCGUGAACGUUCGGCCCAGGUUGCUGCACCUGGGGGUCCGGGCGCCGACAAGUCAGCCCUUAUCAGUAGGAAGGUCAAACUUUUGAACUAUCACAGUUGUAGCCUUGAGCUGUGAAGGAUUUUAAAGGAUACUGAAAAUGGUACCCUGCCUGCAGGGGAUCACCGUAGGGAAAGGCAAGGUCAUUGUCCCGCAAGGGAAACGUGGCCGGGCGCAAAUUACAGGAUACACCCGUAGAAGCUCUUGAGUAGAUGGUUUCGGACAGGGGUUCGACUCCCCUCGCCUCCACCA
rnacentral:tmRNA from 1 species